rnacentral:tRNA from 1 species
UUCAAGUUAGUUAAAAAAUAAUACUACUUUUGGAAAGUAGAGUUGGGUGUCACUUGAAA